CCCUGGUUGGCUUAGUCAGCAGAGCAUGUGACUCUUGAUCUUGGGGUUGUGAGUCUGAGUCUCACAUUGGGUG
rnacentral:tRNA from 1 species